UACGUAGGGUGCGAGCGUUGUCCGGAAUUAUUGGGCGUAAAGGGCUCGUAGGCGGUUUGUCGCGUCGGGAGUGAAAAUCCAGGGCUUAACUCUGGACUGGCUUCCGAUACGGGCAGACUAGAGGUAUGCAGGGGAGAACGGAAUUCCUGGUGUAGCGGUGGAAUGCGCAGAUAUCAGGAGGAACACCAAUGGCGAAAGCAGGUACCUGGACCAUUACUGACACUCAGCUGCGAAAGCUAGGGGAGCAAACAGG
rnacentral:rRNA from 1 species